GUUGGCGUAUUGGCCGACCGUCCGCAAACGAUGGUGGACAGUGACGUAGCAAUGGCAACGUAUUCGUGGCGCGUAAUCGCCAGUUUCAGUGGCAAGAGCGCGUGCGCCGGUUGGACCGCCCUCUGAAUUUCCCGCCCAAGCGACCGCGAGUGACACUUUGAAUUUACAAUACGCAUUCGAUUUGAGUUCUAAUUUUGAAAUAUAUGCGUUCGAUAGUGAUUUAUUGUAAACUGCCAGUGUGUUGGAAUGUCGUGUUGUUGUUUUAACUAAAUCGAUUUAUUCGGUACCAUCGUGUGACUGCAAUACGAUAUCAGCUUGUUUCCUCGAGUGUUUGGCUUCGAUUGCCGUGGAAGAUUUCGAUAAAUCGGAAUGGUUUUCCUUUCCGUUGCAGGCGCAGCAGUGAUAUGCCGGUGAGGGCAGCGUAUGGUCGCGGGUGGGUGGAGGCGCGCGUGCGUGCGCGCAUGUGCUACGAAACAUUCCAACACUAGUAGUGAUUU